rnacentral:rRNA from 1 species
ACGGGUGAGGAACACGUAGGAAUCUACCCUCAAGCGGGGGACAACCAAGGGAAACUUUGGCUAAUACCGCAUAAUCUCGAGAGAGAAAAGUUACCCGCAAGGGCGACACUUGAGGAGGAGCCUGCGUCCGAUUAGCUAGUUGGAGAGGUAAAGGCUCACCAAGGCGAUGAUCGGUAACUGGUCUGAGAGGACGACCAGUCACACUGGGACUGAGACACGGCCCAGACUCCUACGGGAGGCAGCAGUGGGGAAUAUUGGACAAUGGGGGCAACCCUGAUCCAGCGAUGCCGCGUGAGUGAAGAAGGCCUUCGGGUCGUAAAGCUCUUUAGGUUGGGAAGAAGGAUAUUAGUUUCAUAGACUAGUAUUUUGACGGUACCGACAGAAUAAGCACCGGCAAACUCUGUGCCAGCAGCCGCGGUAAUACAGAGGGUGCGAGCGUUAAUCGGAGUUACUGGGCGUAAAGGGCGCGUAGGCGGUGAUAUGAGUGUGGUGUGAAAGCCCCGGGCUUAACCUGGGAAGCGCAUCGCAAACGAUAUGACUAGAGUAGAUGAGAGGGUGGCGGAAUUUCCGGU